rnacentral:rRNA from 1 species
AGUGAACGCUGGCGGUAGGCCUAACACAUGCAAGUCGAACGGCAGCACAGUAAGGGCUUGCUCUUACGGGUGGCGAGUGGCGGACGGGUGAGGAAUACAUCGGAAUCUACUUGUUCGUGUGGGAUAACGUAGGGAAACUUACGCUAAUACCGCAUACGACCUACGGGUGAAUGCAAGGGAUCUUCGGACCUUGCGCGAUUGCAUGAGCCGAUGUCGGAUUAGCUAGUUGGCGGCUUAAAGGCCCACCAAGGCGACGAUCCGUAGUUGGUCUGAGAGGAUGAUCAGCCACACUGGAACUGAGACACGGUCCUGACUCCUACGGGAGGCAGCAGUGGGGAAUAUUGGACAAUGGGCGCAAGCCUGAUCCAGCCACACCGCGUGGGUGAAGAAGGCCUUCGGGUUGUAAAGCCCUUUUGUUGGGAAAGAAAAGCAGCAGGAUAAUACCCCGCUGUUCUGACGGUACCCAAAGAAUAAGCACCGGCUAACUUCGUG